rnacentral:rRNA from 1 species
AUUGAACGCUGGCGGCAGGCCUAACACAUGCAAGUCGAGCGAGCGGCGGACGGGUGCGUAAUGUAUGGAGACUGCCCGACAGAGGGGGAUAACUACUGGAAACGGUGGCUAAUACCGCAUACUACCGAACCCAUAUGGGAUUAGCUAGUAGGUGGGGUAAAGGCUCACCUAGGCGACGAUCUCUAGCUGGUCUGAGAGGAUGAUCAGCCACACUGGGACUGAGACACGUCCCAGACUCCUACGGAGGCAGCAGUGGGGAAUAUUGCACAAUGGGCGCAAGCCUGAUGCAGCCAUGCCGCGUGUAUGAAGAAGGCCUUAGGGUGGUAAAGUACUUUCAGCGGGGAAGCGGUACCCGCAGAGUAAGCACCGGCUAACUCCGUGCCAGCAGCCGCGGUAAUUC